rnacentral:rRNA from 1 species
UGCGUAGGCGGAAGAAUAAGUCAGUGGUGAAAUCUUGCAGCUUAACUGUAAAACUGCCAUUGAUACUGUUUUUCUUGAGUAUAGUUGAGGUAGGCGGAAUGUGUAAUGUAGCGGUGAAAUGCUUAGAUAUUACACAGAACACCGAUUGCGUAGGCAGCUUACUAAACUAUAACUGACGCUGAGGCACGAAAGCGUGGGGAGCGAACAGGAUUAGAUACCCUGGUAGUCC